AAAAGUGCUUGUAGUGCAGGUAG
rnacentral:miRNA from 3 species